rnacentral:rRNA from 1 species
CCACUCCUACGGGGCGCAGCAGUCGGGAAUAUUGCACAAUGGAGGAAACUCUGAUGCAGUGACACCGCGUAUAGGAAGAAGGUUUUCGGAUUGUAAACUAUUUUAGACAGGGAAGAAAAAAGACAGUACCUGUAGAAUAAGCUCCGGCUAACUACGUGCCAGCAGCCGCGGUAAUACGUAGGGAGCAAGCGUUAUCCGGAAUUAUUGGGUGUAAAGGGCGUGUAGGCGGGAACGCAA